GGCAAGAGCUGUGGACAAGGGUUCCCUCCCCCGACCUUUUCUUGGGAACCUAAAGAACCAACUCCAAAGGCAAACAUGGACCUCUGAACAAAACAUCUGCUGGGUGAAUAUUUGAAGACCUGGAGACACAGGUUGGACAGCAUCCAGCUCUGUAGAGAGGAACCAAGCACUUAUUCAAAGGGACAAAGGUCAGAGAAGCCUGAAGAAGUUCUACCAAGUUUCAAAGAUGAGAAGUGACCAACAGGGCAGCAUAACUCUAAGAAUCAGGGCCACCUCCGUUCGGACACCCUUUAACUCUGCAUCUGCUACGUGUGACAUUAUUUUGCAUCGUAAUAGGAGUCUAAUUUUUCUUGAAGGCCCAGGAAGUCAGGAGCUGCACACUAUGCAAGGAGUUGAAACUCAGUUCAAACAAAAACAGAACCCAGGAUUCUCCGUUUGGAAAAUGGCUGGGCCCCCUCUGUGCCUGUUCUCCUGGGGAUAUAGUCUUUGUAAAGUAUAGUUCCCGUCGCUUCCUUUUCAGGGUGUUGUGGUUCAUGGCUUGCAAUGUUAGCCCUGUCUUCUGCUUGAAGUGGAAAAUACUAUUCAUCUCGUUGCUCAGCUGCUGGGUGGAUCCUGGAGCAGCUGUCCCUCGGGGACAUGGGUGAGGCAGAGUGCUAUGCCUGUGAAUGCCAGUGAUGGGGAGAUAACAAAUGUGCCACAGAGAGAGAAACCAUCACAAACAUCAGGAUACCAACCUUCAUCGGUAUAAGACAUUUUCAAUUGCCUUUAUCUUUUGAGGACCCUUGCAUCUCUCGAGAGUAACAGCGGCUCUGAAGCAAUUUCUGGUCUUUUUAAUCACAUGCUGGGAAUUUUCAUAAGAACUGCUCAGCUUCUAGUUAACCUAAAUCUUCUUCCUAAAAAGGGGGGGGCACUUUGAACAAACUGGGCCGAUAUACAUGCUAUAAAGCCUGAACCUAUGGAUGAGACCACUAGGUUAAACAUGGGAUUAGUGACAACUCUUGCCAGGACCCCAGACAUGUCAUUUAGGGUGUGUUCUAGUUGUGGAUCCCGUAGAGGGAAGUAUGGUACCUGCUGUUCUUUUGGAUAUUUGUGGAUAUUUAUAUUUCAGCCUUACGUGGGACCUGUAUCUGUAUCUCUUGCUCUUAGAUACAUCCCUAAAAGUUAGUGGUAAUGAAGUUGGUUGGUAACUUGAUUGUGUAAGCUGCAUAUUAAAGUUUAUUCUCAAGACUUUUUCAGCUUUAGUGAGCUGUAAGAUAAACAUAGUAACUGUCAUUCAAUGUCAAAAUAAACUCAAACUCUUUUUGAGAACAUUUGAAUCUAAAUAGUAAAGUGAAGAAGUUGCUUCAACAGGCACAAAAGUUGGGUUUUUUUGUUUUUUGUUUUAAAGGCACAGAAGUGAUAAAUUAAAGCCACAUCAUCAUUU